CAGUCGCCGCGGGAAUACAGAGGGUGCAAGCGUUAAUCGGAUUUACUGGGCGUAAAGGGCGCGUAGGUGGUUAUUUAAGUGAGAUGUGAAAUCCCCGGGCUUAACCUGGGAACUGCAUCUUAUACUGGGUAACUGGAGUGCAAUAGAGGGUAGUGGAAUUUCCGGUGUAGCGGUGAAAUGCGUAGAUAUCAGAAGGAACACCAGUGGCGAAGGCGGCUACCUGGAUUGACACUGACACUGAGGCGCGAGAGCGUGGGGAGCAAACAGGAUUAGAGACCCGCGUAGUCCCUGUCUCUUAUAC
rnacentral:rRNA from 1 species